AAUUAAUAUAUGUACCGAUUUGGCGGCAGUAAUUACAAUUUGAGCUGUCAGUGAAGAAUACAACCCGCAUGGCUAGCUGAUGGAAAUAGUCCCCACUUGGCAAUCAUAUGGCGCUUUAGACAGACACUCUAAUCUAAACGGACCAUCUACGAGCAGAACAUCACCCGCCGAACCAGCACCGCAAACUGACAUGCAAAUUAAAAAGCAUAUGCUUUGACUCCUAA